AUUGAACGCUGGCGGCAGGCCUAACACAUGCAAGUCGAACGGUAACAGGAAGCAGCUUGCUGCUUCGCUGACGAGUGGCGGACGGGUGAGUAAUGUCUGGGAAACUGCCUGAUGGAGGGGGAUAACUACUGGAAACGGUAGCUAAUACCGCAUAACGUCGCAAGACCAAAGAGGGGGACCUUCGGGCCUCUUGCCAUCGGAUGUGCCCAGAUGGGAUUAGCUAGUAGGUGGGGUAACGGCUCACCUAGGCGACGAUCCCUAGCUGGUCUGAGAGGAUGACCAGCCACACUGGAACUGGGACACGGUCCAGACUCCUACGGGAGGCAGCAGUGGGGAAUAUUGCACAAUGGGCGCAAGCCUGAUGCAGCCAUGCCGCGUGUAUGAAGAAGGCCUUCGGGUUGUAAAGUACUUUCAGCGGGGAGGAAGGCGAUAAGGUUAAUAACCUUGUCGAUUGACGUUACCCGCAGAAGGAGCACCGGCUAACUCCGUGCCAGCCGCCGCUGUAA
rnacentral:rRNA from 1 species